AGUGAACGCUGGCGGUAGGCCUAACACAUGCAAGUCGAACGGCAGCACAGUAAGAGCUUGCUCUUACGGGUGGCGAGUGGCGGACGGGUGAGGAAUACAUCGGAAUCUACUUUUUCGUGGGGGAUAACGUAGGGAAACUUACGCUAAUACCGCAUACGACCUACGGGUGAAAGCAGGGGAUCUUCGGACCUUGCGCGAGUGAAUGAGCCGAUGUCGGAUUAGCUAGUUGGCGGGGUAAAGGCCCACCAAGGCGACGAUCCGUAGCUGGUCUGAGAGGAUGAUCAGCCACACUGGAACUGAGACACGGUCCAGACUCCUACGGGAGGCAGCAGUGGGGAAUAUUGGACAAUGGGCGAAAGCCUGAUCCAGCCAUACCGCGUGGGUGAAGAAGGCCUUCGGGUUGUAAAGCACUUUUGUUGGGAAAGAAAAGCAGCAGGUUAAUACCCCGCUGUUCUGACGGUACCCAAAGAAUAAGCACCGGCUAACUUCGUG
rnacentral:rRNA from 1 species